rnacentral:lncRNA from 1 species
CUUUAAUCUCCUGUGCUUUGGUUGUAACAGUACAACAACAUUGCCAUUUUCACCAAACACUUUGGGAGUCACAGGCAAAGAAAAUACAAGUGGAAAUGAUGAAUCCCCAGCUGGUGAUCUUUUCUUUCUGCUUUCUGGCAAGAAAUCCUUUUACUCAAACUGAGCAAGUGGCUGCUUACACAACAAGGUUCAUGAGCAGAUUUCUUAAAAACAUUAUUAUUUGCCAAAUGUGUCAAAAAUAAUUUUAUGUUCAUCUAAUUUUUGCUUGACUUUUUUUUCUAGAUGGCCUACCAAAAAAUCCCCAAACUAUCAAAUAAAAAAACACAAACUAACCGCUUUUCUUCUGUUUUGGGGCUGAGGAGCAGAGAUUUCAGGGAUUUUUUCAGCAUUGGGAAGAAGGCAAGCAGUCAUGAGGGACAUGACCUGGUUCCCUUAGCCAACCCAACACAUUCCUCUUAUGGAGGCAGCAGACCCUCAGAACAGGCUCCUUCCGAGGGCCCUGCCUGCAUUUUUCUGUCGCCGGUGCCUCCGAAGAGGGGAGCCUGCGGAUGAGGAUCCGACAUGCACGUGAGCCAGCUGGGUAAGUGAGGGGUUUGCUCAGACAUGUCACAGAGCUGCACAUAUUUUUUUGAAGUGUACACCAGGCUUUGACAACACAGGCCUUUACACAGAGUGGUUUAGUGAGGCUCCUUGCCCCCUCCUUCUCCAUGCCCCCAGCCCUACAUGAAAGCAAAGGCAACGUUUGGAACUAAGCUGGCUAAAAACUAUUUGGUUCAUUGCUACCACUUCAAGAAUAUGUAAAAAAUCCCAUGCUGCUGGCUUGUGACACAACACAUCACGUCCCAGAGGUUGGUUUUAAUGCUUAUUCUUCCAGAGCACCACAACUUUUAGUAAACAGGCAACAUAUGAUGCUGUUCUGGUCUCAUCACAACAUGUUUAACAUCUGGGAGAGCUGCCACUUGUGAAGCCAACCAGUGCUCUGCUGACAGACAAAGUGAGCA